rnacentral:rRNA from 1 species
CCUACGGGAGGCAGCAGUGGGGAAUUUUGGACAAUGGGCGCAAGCCUGAUCCAGCAAUGCCGCGUGCAGGAUGAAGGCCUUCGGGUUGUAAACUGCUUUUGUACGGAACGAAACGGUGAGCUCUAAUACAGUUUGCUAAUGACGGUACCGUAAGAAUAAGCACCGGCUAACUACGUGCCAGCAGCCGCGGUAAUACGUAGGGUGCGAGCGUUAAUCGGAAUUACUGGGCGUAAAGCGUGCGCAGGCGGUGAUGUAAGACAGAUGUGAAAUGCCCGGGCUCAACCUGGGACCUGCAUUUGUGACUGCAUCGCUAGAGUACGGUAGAGGGGGAUGGAAUUCCGCGUGUAGCAGUGAAGUGCGUAGAUAUGCUGAGGAACACCGAUGGCGAAGGCAAUCCCCUGGACCUGUACUGACGCUCAUGCACGAAAGCGUGGGGAGCAAACAGGAUUAGAUACCCUGGUAGUCCACGCCCUAAACGAUGUCAACUGGUUGUUGGGUCUUCACUGACUCAGUAACGAAGCUAACGCGUGAAGUUGACCGCCUGGGGAGUACGGCCGCGAGGUUGAAACUUAAAUGAAUUGACGG